GUUAGUCGGGAGGGGGCGCUGUACGCGCGCUGUACGCUUGCGCGAGGUGACGCCGGGGCAGGGCCGGAAGGAAUGCAGCGGCUGCCACGGAGCUCGUAGCUGCAGCUUUGGAGGAGUAAGCGGCGUGGUAGCGAAGGUCGCCGAACCCGCCUGGCUAGCCGGCGAGUUGAGUGGCGACUCUUUUGAAACAGAUGGUCACCAUGUUUAGAUAUUAGCAGUCCCGUAUGUGCAUGUCUGCAUUUGAAAAUGGAAGAGGGAAACAACAAUGAAGAGGUAAUUCACUUGAACAACUUUCACUGCCAUCGGGGACAAGACUUUGUAAUUUUCUUCUGGAAAACCCAGAUUAUCCAAAGAGAGAAGACAGAAUCAUUAUAAAUCCCAGUAGCAGUCUGCUGGCCAGCCAAGAUGAGACAAAGUUGCCUAAAAUAAGACUUUUUUGACUAUUCUAAAUUGACUCCUCUUGACCAGCACUGCUUCAUCCAAGCUGCUGACCUCCUCAUGGCCGACUUCAAAGUGCUCAGUAGUCAGGACAUCAUGUGGGCCCUGCACGAGCUCAAAGGACACUAUGCAAUCACCCGAAAGGGGUUGGCAUCUGCACAUCCUUCCUGGGCAUCUCGUGGGCACUGCUCGAUUACCACCAGGCCUUGCACACCUGCCUCCCCUCCAAGCCCCUCCUGGGCCUGGGCUCCUCUGUGAUCUACGUCCUGUGGAACCUGCUGCUACUGUGGCCCCGAGUCCUAGCUGUGGCCCUGUUCUCAGCCCUCUUCCCCAGUAUGUAGCCCUGCAUUUCCUGGGCCUGUGGCUGGUACUGCUGCUCUGGGUUUGGCUUCAAGGCACAGACUUCAUGCUGGACCCCAGUUCCGAGUAUCCUCUAUUUCUCCUGGUUCAACGUGGCUGAGGGCCACACCCGAGGCCGGGCCACCAUCCACUUGGCUUUCCUCCUGAGUGACAGCAUUCUCCUGGUGGCCACCUGGGUGACUUACAGCUCCUGGCUGCCCAGCAGGAUUCCACUGCAGCUGUGGCUGCCUGUAGGAGGCGGAUGCUUCUUUCUGGGCCUGGCUCUGUGGCUUGUGUGCUACUGCUGGCUGCACCCUAGCUGAUGCUGGGAGCCCAACCCUGACCAGGUGGACAGGACCCAGAGUCUACUUUCCUCAGAGGGGUAUCAGCUGCCUCAGACCCAGUUAGCACAGAACUUUUUUCCCAAGGGUAAGGCUGAGGCUGCUUCGCCAGUGAAGGGAGAGGUGAACGGCGUCCUUUGAAGCAGGAUCAGACCCAGCCAGCAGAGAUGGAGAGUGACUGCUGGCAGAAGGCAGGCGAGGAUAAGCUAACGAUGCUGCUGUGGCCUCCAUGCACUCAGCAAGAGUGGGAUGCCUCUGCUGGGCCGUGCACCAGGGAUGGUGCUGAGUGGGGCAGAGGCCUGCCUUCAAGGAGUUCACAGUGAACAAGAUGAGAAGGGCUGGGCCCUGCAGGGUCAAGAGCCCCAAUUACGUACAAGACACUUUGGGAGGAAAGACGACUACCUUUUCUUUUCCCCCUGCCAUUGGUAUAGCUGGUGCCCCAAAACUUUCACCUCCCUCCCUGGCCACCUCUAAAAUGAUUGGUAUAGGGGCUUCCCCACCCCUUAGCUCCCCUAUCCUGGGCUAGAAGGCCACAGGGACUGUCCUCUAGAAUUCUUCCUCCCCUCCCCCACACCAUUCAUUCAAUUCGUGAAACAAAUCUUCACCGAGAGCAGUUUAUGUGCUAGGAACAUCAUUCUAUCCUUGCAACCUGGAACAAGACCAGCUACCACCUUAGCUUCAUCCCCUACUUGCACCAACCAGUCCCGGGUUAGAUCUCAAAUGCCGGAAGUCAGGGAUGCCCAACUCUGGGCAGCCCCAGUCAGAACCUCUGGGAUCUCAGUGAAGCUGGCCUGGCCUCUGCUCUUGCUCUCAAGGGGCUGCUUUUCAACCAAGAGCCUUGUGAGCCUGGUCUGAGCCUUGCACAGCCACUGAGUAUUUUUUAUUCCUUAGCCAGUGUACCUCCUACCUCAGAGUCUAUGUGAGAGGAAGAGAAUGUGUGUCCCUGUGGGUCUCUGCAAGUGACAGAUGUGUUGUUUUUAACAGUAUUAUUAGGUUAUGAUUAAAGCCUCAUGAAAUCCUCUAA
rnacentral:lncRNA from 1 species